CAAUAGCGUAUAUUUAAGUUGCUGCAGUUAAAAAGCUCGUAGUUGGAUUUCGGGUGGGAAUGGCCGGUCCGCCGUUUCGGUGUGCACUUGCUACGCCCACCUUGCUGCCGGGGACGUGCUCUUGAGUUCACGCUCGGGACUCGGAGUCGGCGAGGUUACUUUGAGUAAAUUAGAGUGUUCAAAGCAGGCCUACGCUCUGAAUACAUUAGCAUGGAAUAACACGAUAGGACUCUGGCCUAUCUUGUUGGUCUGUAGGACCGGAGUAAUGAUUAAGAGGGACAGUCGGGGGCAUUCGUAUUUCAUUGUCAGAGGUGAAAUUCUUGGAUUUAUGAAAGACGAACUACUGCGAAAGCAUUUGCCAAGGAUGUUUUCAUUAA
rnacentral:rRNA from 1 species